rnacentral:rRNA from 1 species
AUACGGAGGGUCCAAGCGUUAUCCGGAAUCAUUGGGUUUAAAGGGUGCGCGGGCGGUUUAAUAAGUCAGUGGUGAAAUCUCGGGGCUCAACCUCGAAACUGCCAUUGAUACUGUUAAACUUGAGUUCAGUUGGAGUAGGCGGAAUGUGUAGUGUAGCGGUGAAAUGCUUAGAUAUUACACAGAACACCGAUAGCGAAGGCAGCUUACUAAACUGAUACUGACGCUGAGGCACGAAAGCGUGGGGAGCGAACAGAAUUAGAAACCCUAGUAGUCC